rnacentral:lncRNA from 1 species
UGGUGUCUUUUAUAUUUUACUAGAUGGGUAAGUCUAGCUGAGUACAUUCUCGUACUUAGGGUUUAUUCCCACCUGUUGCAGAUGACAUCUUUUAUGACGGCUUCUGCAAGACCUGUCUCCAUCCCGCUGGGGAUGAGGACUAACCGUCGGGCACGGUUCUCUACCAAUCUCGUAUCUGAUGCUUUUGGAAGGAUGGCAU